rnacentral:snRNA from 1 species
GUACUUGCUUCAGCAGUACAUAUACUAAAAUUGGAACGAUACAGAGAAGAUUAGCAUGGCCCCUGCGCAAGGAUUACACGCAAAAUCGUGAAGCGUUCCACAUUUUU